GCUUUCGUGGUGUAAUGGUAAGCACACUCGAUGCGUACUCGAGAAGUCCGUGGUUCGAGUCCCGGCCAGGGCA
rnacentral:tRNA from 1 species